ensembl:lncRNA LINC02880 long intergenic non-protein coding RNA 2880
CUUUCGGAGUGGAGUUUCCUAGCUGGUGCCUGUCCUCUCUUGAGCCUUUGUUUCUUGAGUGAGCACUCACUGGGGCUGUGGCUCCAUGAACUGGAUUUCAGGAAACCAGCCAAGGCAUUCUCUCUCUCUCUCCAUUCCUAGAAAGGCAGAAAGCCUGGGAAUGGGUUCGGCAGGAAGAUCUCUGUACCUCAAUCUCCAUUGCUUUCAGCACCACUGGCUUUCUCCCCAGCUCAAGUGCAAAACCUGCCAUCGUUGCUACCUGGGGUGCCUCAGACUCACCCAAGUCCCCCAGGCCAGAGGACAUGCUCUCAAGCCUUGUUUCAGAAAGAGGGACCCAAAGGCUGUUAGGGAAGAGAACCAGGGUCCUCAAACCCAGGGUUUUCUCACCCACUGCCUCUGCUCUGGCUGUGGCCUGCCAGACCUCUCCUCUGAUUUUCGCUUUCCUUCCUGCCAGUGCCUUUGUUUAUCCGAGGCGCCAAGAUCCCACUGUGAAGUCUGAAAGGAAGACCAGUGGUUCUCGCUUUUCCUCUAGAUGCUGUGUCUCCCAAUGUCAUCUUCUUUCCUCUCAAAGACAAUUGGACGUUGUUACAGAUUUUCUUGGAAUGAGUAAAUACCUAGCAGUGGGAUUGCUGGAUCAUAUGAAAAUGCCAGACUAUAUUUCAUCAGCAACAUCGGAGAGUUCCAGUUGCUCUACACCCUCACUAGCACUUAAUAUUGUUGAUCGCUGCCUGGAUUCACAGAAGGACAAAUUACAAUGCAUUUUGAAAGACUCGUCUACAGUCAACUAAAAUACCAGUUAUCACAGACUUCACUGGCCUUAAUGAGGAGGCUGAGAGGGAUUUAAUUACUGGGACAUGCAACGCUUACACCAAACUCUGUUCGAUUCACGACUUGGAAAAGCAAAUGUGGAUACAGAUGAGUGUGGACAUGGCUUCAGUAGGAAAUGUCGAGUUUGUUCAUCACUCUGAAGUUUCUUCAGCUGCAACGGAAACUGCACCCUCCCUCCCGACUUGUUGGUUAUCUUGCUGUGCUCCCAAGAAGGUAUUUUCUGCUGACCUGAUAGAUCAGACCUUUGUCAUUUUGAUUGAAAAGAUGUUUACCUGUUGGUCCCCAGCCUCACUCUUCUGAACCUCAGAUCCACUGAGUGUGUAUCCAGAGGUAAGUAUGUGGUAAGUAUGCUUGUCAUUUACAUUAUCUGUCAGCAUGAGUAUUGGUUUCCUAGAAACCUAAUAUUGAAAACACUUAGCAUUGCUAAAAGCAUUAAAUGAAAUAAAGACUCAAUAUAGCUGCACUAAUCUGUGCUUUCUAAAUUUACUGAUGGACGUGAAGAAAGUAGGUUGGCAUGGAGUUUAUACAAUUUAUGGAUCACACUGAUCUGAAUUCAGACAGUGUGUGCUCAGAUAAAAAUAUUGUUUCCUCCCAUGAGGUUUCCAAUUUUGCAGAGAAGAAUACCUCUGUUUAGCUCAUUACUUAACACAAUGGGUAGCUGGGUGGCCUUGCAUUCUGGAAGUGAAAUGACACAAGAAUGUCUCCACUGCAUUCUCCAGAGGUAAAGAUUCUCUGGCACAAAAUCACAACCAAGGUGGGGUUCCAAAACUAUAGAACAAAUGGCAGCAGCCAUGCAGCCAGCCUUGGUUCGGGUGGGCUGUAAAAGCAGAGGUUGUCCUCGUGUUAUCAGCACUGACUUCCUGUUGUGGCCACACUGACAGAGAUGAGAUGGCAGAAAGCAGGAAAGAGACCAGAGCUGCAAUUGACAGAUGGCUGGCCAAAGUUGAAGGGUCAGAGACUACACCAAAGACUUCUCAGAAAAUACUUGCCUAGGAGGCUCUCACUUGGAAAGAUAUUCAGGGUUGUUAAACAUAUCCUGUUAUUAGGAAAACGAGAGUUUUAUCUUUCUCUUACUCAGAAAGAAAAAACAAAAAGAAAAUUAGUGCUCUUAAGAAAAGCUAUUUUAAUGUUAUCCAUUAUAAAAUUAGAAAACCUUGAAAGGCAAAUGUUUCUUCUGACCAUUUACACUGAGCUUCUUUCAUUAUCUCAUAUGCAACCUUGUGGAUUGAAGGUGGAGAGUCCUUAGGAUUACCCAGGAACAUCCCUGUCUGCUCCCCCUGCUAGGCAGGAGGAGAUUUGAAACCACAUGUGUCUACUUCAUUUCUGUCACGGGUAGGACAGUGUCAUAUACUUUGUAGGUAACUCAAAGAUAUUAUAGGUAACUCAUAGAUAUUGAUUGAAUUAAUGUUUAAUAAAAUGAGAACACC